rnacentral:tRNA from 1 species
GGACCUGGAAACGUCUGGUGACGUUGCCUCGCUGUCUACGAGGAUACGCGGGUUCGAUCCCCGUCAGGACCG